rnacentral:lncRNA from 1 species
AGGUAUCAGCUUUGCAUCGCUCCGCGUGCUCUGCAGAGAGGGACCCCAUUCACUGCUCUGCUGCAAAUGCUUACCACCAAGUUACCUGGCUGGACGACAGACACAAGCACAAGAAAUUGGGAAAUUAACCUGAAGUGAACAAUCACAGAGGAUUAUUGAAUGAAGAAGGCUUUCUUACUGUGUGAGACAAUCCAUCUGCAGCUAUGCAAAUGCUCUGAGUUUCACAGAAGGUCUAAGUGUGAAACCAGAAAAAGAUGCACAUAUUCCCCAGAAGAACGACAACAUGCAGAAGAGCACAACCCAAGUGCAGCAGUCAGCUGGUUUUAAGUGUGCUCCAGGAACAAGAACUCCAGCAUAUGAGGCAAAGAGAUAACAGCUGAGGAGCAGACAGAAUCACGUUUCUGCUCUCCUCCUCCUUCGUGCAUCAGCCAGCCUCACAGGCUACGUAUCUGAGCAGUGGUGAAAGGGAACAGAAGAAACGCUGCACCAAGGACUCACAGCGGCUCGGAUCGGUAAACUACUCUAAACCCAGUGAAGCCAAAAGACUCCAGCAAAGUACUCUUUUACUCUCUUUAUAAAAUAUG